GGUUAAGCGACUAAGCGUACACGGUGGAUGCCCUGGCAGUCAGAGGCGAUGAAGGACGUGCUAAUCUGCGAUAAGCGUCGGUAAGGUGAUAUGAACCGUUAUAACCGGCGAUUUCCGAAUGGGGAAACCCAAGUGUGAUUCGUCACACUAUCAUUAACUGAAUCCAUAGGUUAAUGAGGCGAACCGGGGGAACUGAAACAUCUAAGUACCCCGAGGAAAAGAAAUCAACCGAGAUUCCCCCAGUAGCGGCGAGCGAACGGGGAGCAGCCCAGAGUCUGAAUCAGUGUGUGUGUUAGUGGAAGCGUCUGGAAAGGCGCGCGAUACAGGGUGACAGCCCCGUACACAAAAAUGCACAUGCUGUGAGCUCGAUGAGUAGGGCGGGACACGUGGUAUCCUGUCUGAAUAUGGGGGGACCAUCCUCCAAGGCUAAAUACUCCUGACUGACCGAUAGUGAACCAGUACCGUGAGGGAAAGGCGAAAAGAACCCCGGCGAGGGGAGUGAAAAAGAACCUGAAACCGUGUACGUACAAGCAGUGGGAGCACGCUUAGGCGUGUGACCGCGUACCUUUUGUAUAAUGGGUCAGCGACUUAUAUUCUGUAGCAAGGUUAACCGAAUAGGGGAGCCGAAGGGAAACCGAGUCUUAACUGGGCGUUAAGUUGCAGGGUAUAGACCCGAAACCCGGUGAUCUAGCCAUGGGCAGGUUGAAGGUUGGGUAACACUAACUGGAGGACCGAACCGACUAAUGUUGAAAAAUUAGCGGAUGACUUGUGGCUGGGGGUGAAAGGCCAAUCAAACCGGGAGAUAGCUGGUUCUCCCCGAAAGCUAUUUAGGUAGCGCCUCGUGAA
rnacentral:rRNA from 1 species